AUUCAAGGCUGGCGGGAGGCUUAAUACAUGCAAGUCGAACGAGUGGCGGCCGGGUGAGUCAUGCUGGGGAACCUGGCUUAUGGAGGGGGAUAACGACGGGAACCUGUAGCUAAUACCGCGCCCCAUAGGAUGAGCCCAAGUGGGAUUAGGUAGUGGGUGGGGUAAUGGCCUACCAAGCCGACGAUCUCUAGCUGGUCUGCGAUGAUGACCAUCCACUCCGGGACUGAGACACGGCCCGGACUCCUACGGGAGGCAGCAGUGGGGAAUAUUGCGCAAUGUGUGCAAGCUGACGCUGCCAUGCCGCGUGAAGGAAGAAGGCCUUGGGGUUUUAAAGUUGUUUCGGUGACGAGGCGGUAAUCACAGAAGAAGCAACGGCUAACUCCGUGCCAGCAGCCGCGGUAAUAC
rnacentral:rRNA from 1 species